GACGAACGCUGGCGGCGUGCUUAACACAUGCAAGUCGAACGGUAAGGCCCUGUUCUUGUGGCGUGCUCGAGUGGCGAAAGGGUGAGUAACACGCGAGUGACCUGCCCUUUACUUUGGGAUACCUCCAGGGAACACGGACUAUUAUCGCACAUGAACACCUUCUGCAUGGUGUUGGUUGUUGAAUGUCGCCGUUUGGGGACGCACUCGCGGCUCAUCAGCUUGUUGGUGGGGUGGUGGCUUAACAAGGCUUUGACGGGUAGCCGGCCUGGGAGGGUGACCGGCCACAUUGGGACUGAGAUACGGCCCAGACUCCUACGGGAGGCAGCAGUGGGAAAUAGUGCACAAUGGGCGGAAGCCUGAUGCAGCAACGCCGGGUGCGAGAUGACGGCCGUCGGGGUGUAAACCGCUUGCGCCUGUGAAGAAGCGUGAGUGACGGUAAUGGGUAAAGAAGCAACGGCUAACUACGUG
rnacentral:rRNA from 1 species